AGGGUGACAUAGUACAUCAUUCCUCUCCAGAAAACCAACAGCGCUCUAAAGGACCAAACUACUCUGUAGACCAAAUUAGGUCCAAGGAGACCUCAAAUGGAAGAUUGAUUGCACGGGUUGCCAGGAAUACCAAGUGCAAGAAUGAAUGGGGCAACUUGGGGCUUUUUUAAAGGGUAGACUGUGCAGAGGGAAUGCAGGACCCUGCUGGGCUCAGUGUUCUGACAGAAAUGUGUGCAAGUGAAGAGGUAGAUGGAUGAGAGGAUCAGCUGAGCUCCAGUGGAGCAAAACACUUGUUCAUAAACAAUCUCCUUCAUCAGCCCUUUUCAUAAACACCCCAACUACCCAAAUGAACAUUCUUUCAUUUUGUACUCACAUUUAUGUUGUUCCAAAGCCGUAUGCUGUUAUUUAUUUAUUUUUCUUCGGUUUUUGAAGAAUCUGCAGCUCUUUUUCACAGUGACUAUGACUAUCAGUCUUCAAAAACACUAUAAAAGUGCUCAAUAUGACUUCGGAGCAGUGUUAUUUUUGUGUUAUUUAUACACUAUUAUAGUAUUUAUAUCUUUUAAUUAUCUUAUUUUUAUCUUUUCAGUUUCCAUUUUAAUUUUAGUUUGUUUUAGCAAUUUUGUUAUUUGCUUUUUUUGUUUUUGUUUCAAAUAUUUAGAUAAAUAUUUAAUACAUUUUAUAAACAUUUGUAUAUUUACUUUUUGUUUUUUUGGUUUUAGCAAUUUUAUUACUUUAAUGUUUUUUUAAUUUAUUUUUUAAUUAAGUUUUCAAAUUUUUUUUUUAGUUUUUUAAGGUUAGGUUUUUCGUGUAAUAUUUAUUCUUUGAUUUAUUUCAGCUUUAUUUUAGUUUCAGGUUUUUUUCCGGCAUAAAAACCAUUCCUUUCAUUUAUAUUUUAAUGAAUAAAUAUUAAACAAGUCUUAUUUUUUGGAAAAUAAAGGGGAUUUAAUAUUGAUAAUAACAUUGAAGACAUUGUAUGAUUAUUCCUUAAAGAUAAGGUUUUAAUAGUUUUAGUAGUAGUAGCCUAUUAAGUACGUUCUACUGAACAAUAGUAAUAUAUUUCUGCCCAAUGCCUUCAAGUGAAACCGAACUUUUAUUUUGACGGGUUGCCUAGAAUACCUUUACAUUUCUGUGUGUAUAUGAUAUGAGGAUAGUUUUACUCAAAUUAAUCGGUCAAAUGCUCAUGAAGUGACUCUCAGAGCAGUUCUGGAGACCUUGUUCAUGUAUUUAUGUCCUCAUUUAGUGAGGCGGCAGACGUUAAUAUCACCGCAAGCGUCACGCGUAUGGCGUUCGGCCGGGCUCAUUAAUAUUACGCGGUUACAUAUGGUCAUAGUUCACGGAUGAAGGUGACACUGGAGUCUCAACACCUACUGUAGACAGUGAGUUUGACAGGCAGGCUCUUCAUACUGCUGAUGGGGUUCUCCACCCUACAGCUGUAGACGUCAUCAUCUGAUAUCACAACACGGGAGAUGGUCAGGAUCUUCUGGUCAUGUGACAGGAGCAGACGUGAGUCAUUGGUCAAAGAUUUCCCGCCCUUCUGCCAGCUAUAGUAAGGCUGAUGUAUCGCUCCCCAGUGAAGGUAUCAUCAGUGAUGGAGAUCUCCACCUCAUAGGCGCCCUCGUCUGACAGCUGCAGGUGAUGCAGGAGCAGCGAGCCGUUCUCGUACAGGAGGAUUCGUCCGCGGUACUCAGGCCUCAGGUUCCCGAUGAUGUCCGUACCAAUGGACUGGACCACAGUGACAGCCGGUUAUUGCAGUAUAAACUGCAAAUACACAUUGCUUGAACUCUCCAGUGAGACACCUGCUGGUAAACAGCUUUGUGUUUAUUGCUCCUGAGUGAGCCAACAUGUCCUUCCUUGCCCGCUUUGCCAGGGCAGUGCGAGUCAGUGUGGCAUGGCUCAAUCGCUGUGGCAACAAUUCUCAGUGUUGAGGUCUUGCCAGGAUGAGCUAACAAAGGUCUAGAUUGUAGGCUCGCUCUCCUCCAAUCAGGGGCAGGGUGCAAGAGACAUGUUCUUUUGUGGAUGGGGGGAUGUAGACAGUGGGGCCCAGUGAUUCUGCUAAUCAAAGCUCUCCAAGGAAGACUAGGCUUUAGUUAGGACAUGUUCUUGCAUUCGUCCCCUUCCUUGACACAUGGUUUUAAGAAAAUGUGAAGUCAUCAAGCUCAUGCCAACUCACUCAUGCCGUAGCGAUUGUUCUGAACUUGUUGUUCAGACUUUUUGCACAAAUCCAGCCUUUAAAAUAAAUCUAAUGCAUGGAUGGAGAUUAAAGACAACAUGAUUUUUUUUUUGUUGCCAAAAUGCAAAAACUGGUCUGUGGUGUGAUUAUUUAUUAUAAUUUUUUUUUAAAUUACAAUUUUCAGUGUGCAUAUUUUUUUUUAAAGUUUGUGUCAUAAUCAUUCCAUUUGCCUUCUAACUUCCUUACUAUUGCAUUCAUAUUAAAAAGACAGUAUUUCUAAUAAAAAGCAUUUCAAAAGUACAGUUUCAUCAAGUGCCCUAAUUAAUUCACUUGAGUGAUCGCUCUAUUUGUGAUAUGUGUCAUCCAGCCACCCACAAACAAAACACACACUGAAAAG